UACGUAGGGUGCGAGCGUUGUCCGGAAUUAUUGGGCGUAAAGAGCUCGUAGGCGGUUUGUCGCGUCUGCUGUGAAAUCCCGAGGCUCAACCUCGGGUCUGCAGUGGGUACGGGCAGACUGGAGUGAUGUAGGGGAGACUGGAAUUCCUGGUGUAGCGGUGAAAUGCGCAGAUAUCAGGAGGAACACCGAUGGCGAAGGCAGGUCUCUGGGCAUUAACUGACGCUGAGGAGCGAAAGCAUGGGGAGCGAACAGG
rnacentral:rRNA from 1 species